AUACGUAUGUCGCAAGCGUUAUCCGGAUUUAUUGGGCGUAAAGCGCGUCUAGGCGGCCUAGUAAGUCUGAUGUGAAAAUGCGGGGCUCAACCCCGUAUUGCGUUGGAAACUGCUAAACUAGAGUACUGGAGAGGUAGGCGGAACUACAAGUGUAGAGGUGAAAUUCGUAGAUAUUUGUAGGAAUGCCGAUGGGGAAGCCAGCCUACUGGACAGAUACUGACGCUAAAGCGCGAAAGCGUGGGUAGCAAACAGGAUUAGAUACCCUGGUAGUCCACGCCGUAAACGAUGAUUACUAGGUGUUGGGGGUCGAACCUCAGCGCCCAAGCUAACGCGAUAAGUAACCCGCCUGGGGAGUACGUACGCAAGUAUGAAACUCAAAUGAAUUGACGGGG
rnacentral:rRNA from 1 species